ACGCCUGCAACUCUCCUGGCUUCAUGUUUACUGCUUGUUUCUUUCUAGGCAUGCAUUCUCUCUUCCAAUGUUUUUGUAUUCUUGUUCACCUCAGGGACUUGCAGCAGACAUCCCGGAAACGCUAAUUUUUCAUAUUUAUGUAUUCAUUCAAUUCUAGAUAUUUGUAUCCCCGUCUUUCAAAACCUUUUCUAGGACAGCUUACAGCAACAAUGCAACAUGUAAUAUCAAAAACAAAGAAAACAAUACAGAAUCAAAAGCAGCAUUAAAACAGGUAACUGGGAGUUAAAAGGUGAAGGUGCCACAUAAUAUGUCUUAUACCAGAAGGAUAUGCACAGCAGUGAGAUAUUAGGCCGGAGGCCUUCAAGGGGGUUGCCGGAGGGGGACGGAGCGGAUGUGCAUCCUAAUCUGCGGCCACAGCAUGAUUUUCUGGGCAGGCCGUAGGGCCGCGUCGUCUCGGAUGGGCUCGCAGCUGGGGCUCAGUCAACGAGCUACUGUACAAUGGCUUGGCCAGCGAGGGAUGCGCUGGGAUGGGCUCCUACCCGCCCUGUUCUGGCAAGGAUGCUCUAAGGCUAGGCCUGCUGAAAACAAAUGCCAGGACUGAGCUCUCUUCAGUCAUGGCACAAAGCAAGCUGUCGUGGGAGGGAGCUGUUCUUUAUUUAAGCCGCUUGGAGAUAACCUAUUUACACUAACCAUCGCUGUCAAAUGCAGGCUCAUCUCUUGGAGUGCCAGUUAUAUAUCCCUUUAGGCCUGAAGAAAUAAAAAGCAAGAAAAUGAACAGUCUUUUAUCCAUCAAAUUUUGUCAGUAGCUUCGAACCAGCUUGAUAAAAAAAAAAACCCAGCAGCAACUGUGAAACACAAUUUCCAUCUCUGUGAACAAAACUCAUUCAUUCUCAGUGCGAGAGCACCCAAUUCAGAUCUAUUAUUUAUUUAUCUUUGAGCUUUAAGACUGAAGGACAUGGGAGCCCUAUUCCAAACGUAGAUAGUCUCCAGGAUAACAGGAACAGUUUUCUAGUAGAACCAGUCUCAAUUUACCAAAGGUUCAUUUGCCUCCCACUCAGGACUGCUGCAGCUGCUUAUUCCUCUUAAUUUAUAAUCUUCAGCCAAGGAACUGCUGCAGGUCAUCUGCAGGGAAGGGGAUGCAGGAUGGCAAAGCUUGCAGUGGGUGCUGGGGCCUAGCCAUCCUUCCUCCCACUC